rnacentral:rRNA from 1 species
GACGAACCGUGCGAACGUUGUUCGGAUUCACUGGGCUUAAAGGGCGCGUAGGCGGACGGUCAAGUCAGGGGUGAAAUCUUUCAGCUCAACUGGAAAAGUGCCUCUGAUACUGAUCGUCUCGAGGGAGGUAGGGGCAUGUGGAACUUCCGGUGGAGCGGUGAAACGCGCAGAUAUCAGGAGGAACACCGGUGGCGAAGGCGGGUCUCUGGGCAACAACUGACGCUGAGGAGCGAAAGCGUGGGGAGCGAACAGG